UAAGGAAUAUUGGUCAAUGGACGGAAGUCUGAACCAGCCAUGCCGCGUGGAGGAAGAAUGCCCUAUGGGUUGUAAACUCCUUUUACCAGGGGAGAAAUCUGGUCAUUCAUGAUCAGUUGACGGUACCUGGGGAAUAAGCACCGGCUAACUCCGUGCCAGCAGCCGCGGUAAUACGGAGGGUGCAAGCGUUAUCCGGAAUCACUGGGUUUAAAGGGUGCGUAGGCGGUCCGAUAAGUCAGAGGUGAAAGCUCAUCGCUUAACGAUGAAACUGCCUUUGAUACUGUCAGACUUGAAUUAGGAUAAGGUAAGCGGAAUGUGGCAUGUAGCGGUGAAAUGCAUAGAUAUGCCAUAGAACACCAAUUGCGAAGGCAGCUUACUGGGCCUUGAUUGACGCUGAGGCACGAAAGCGUGGGGAUCAAACAG
rnacentral:rRNA from 1 species